rnacentral:rRNA from 1 species
AUUGGACAAUGGUCGGAAGACUGAUCCAGCCAUGCCGCGUGCAGGAUGACGGCCUUAUGGGUUGUAAACUGCUUUUAUACAGGAAGAAUAAGGUCUACGAGUAGAUUGAUGACGGUACUGUAUGAAUAAGCAUCGGCUAACUCCGUGCCAGCAGCCGCGGUAAUACGGAGGAUGCGAGCGUUAUCCGGAAUCAAAGGGUUUAAAGGGUCCGUAGGCGGGCUUAUAAGUCAGAGGUGAAAGCACUGAGCUCAACUGAGUAACUGCCUUUGAAACUGUAGGUCUUGAAUGUUUGUGAAGUAUCUGGAAUGUGUAGUGUAGCGGUGAAAUGCAUAGAUAUUACACAGAACACCGAUUGCGAAGGCAUGUUACUAACAAAUUAUUGACGCUGAUGGACGAAAGCGUGGGGAGCGAACAGGAUUAGAUACCCUGGUAGUCCACCCUGUAAACGAUGGAUACUAGCUGUUUGGAAGUAAUAUUGAGUGGCUAAGCGAAAGUGAUAAGUAUCCCACCUGGGGAGUACGCACGCAAGUGUGAAACUCAAAGGAAUUGACGGGGGCCCGCACAAGCGGUGGAGCAUGUGGUUUAAUUCGAUGAUACGCGAGGAACCUUACCAAGGUUUAAAUGGGAAACGACGUAUCUAGAGAUAGAUAUUUCUUCGGACGUUUUUCAAGGUGCUGCAUGGUUGUCGUCAGCUCGUCCCGUGAGGUGUCAGGUUAAGUCCUAUAACGAGCGCAACCCCUGCUGUUAGUUGCUAGCGAGUCAAGUCGAGCACUCUAACGGGACUGCCGGUGCAAACCGUGAGGAAGGUGGGGAUGACGUCAAAUCAUCACGGCCCUUACAUCUUGGGCUACACACGUGCUACAAUGGCCGGUACAGCGAGCAGCCACUGCGUGAGCAGGAGCGAAUCUAUAAAGCCGGUCACAGUUCGGAUCGGAGUCUGCAACUCGACUCCGUGAAGCUGGAAU